AUUGAACGCUGGCGGCAGGACUAACACCUGCAAGUCGAGCGAGCGGCGGACGGGUGAGUAAUGUUUAGGAAACUUCCUGAGGGAGGGGGAUAACUACUGGAAACGGUAGCUAAUACCGCAUACUAUCAGAUGUGCCCAGAUGGGAUUAGCUAGUAGGUGGGGUAACGGCUCACCUAGGCGACGAUCCCUAGCUGGUCUGAGAGGAUGACCAGCCACACUGUAACUGGGACACGGUCCAGACUCCUACGGGAGGCAGCAGUGGGGAAUAUUGCACAAUGGGCGCAAGCCUGAUGCAGCCAUGCCGCGUGUGUGAAGAAGGCCUUCGGGUUGUAAAGCACUUUCAGCGGGGAGGCGUUACCCGCAGAAGAAGCACCGGCUAACUCCGUGCCAGCAGCCGCGGUAAUAC
rnacentral:rRNA from 1 species